AUAAUUUUGAUAGCUAUGAUUAAAUACAAGAUUUGCCGUAUACUCCUAGUGGGCGUUCUAGCCCUGUUUGCGGUACCAGUUCUGUACAUCUACACGAAAACACCACCGCCUCUACCAGACCUAGAUUUAGAGGAAUGGUGGGGAACGAAGCUAUCAAUGUCAAAGCAAAAUGAUAGUAUAGUGCCUUUCCAUGUGGAGUUUAAUGAUAUCAAUAUAAAAGACAUAAAAGAGCGUCUUCGAGACCGACAUCCACUUACUCCAACAUUAGAAGGCGUCACAUUCGAAUAUGGAUUUAACAGCAAACAACUGGAGUCCUGGCUCAAGUACUGGGUUGAGGAAUAUCCUUAUAGCGAACGCGAAACGUAUAUAAACAAGUACCCACAAUUUAAAACUAACAUUCAGGGUUUGAAUAUUCAUUUCGUAAGAAUUAAGCCUGAGAAGGUACCCGCUGGCAAAGAAACCGUACCCCUCCUACUUCUUCAUGGGUGGCCAGGUUCUUUCUUGGAAUUUUAUGAAGCCGUUCCUCAUCUGAUGGCUCUAAGUAAAGAUAGGGACUUCGUUUUUGAACUUAUUAUUCCAAGCUUGCCCGGAUAUGGAUUCUCAAGUGCGGCAACUCGACCUGGUCUUGGUGCAGACAAGAUGGCGGUGGUAAUGAAAAACUUAAUGAACAGACUUGGGCACAAGAAGUUCUACGUCCAGGGUGGUGAUUGGGGUGCGCUUAUUGGCAGUUUAAUGGCUACGUUUUUCCCGCAGGAGGUACUAGGUUACCACUCAAACAUGCCUUUCUUGAGCACAACAUCGUCUACAAUAAUUCGUGUGCUCGGUUCCAUUUAUCCCCCAUUGGUAGUGAGUUCGGAAGCUGCAGACAGAAUGUAUCCCAUGUCUAAGUACUUUGGGAUGCUGCUAGAGGAAACUGGAUAUUUCCACAUACAAGCCACUAAACCAGAUACAGUUGGUAUAGCUCUAAGCGACAGUCCAGCUGGCUUGGCAGCGUAUAUUCUUGAAAAGUUCUCCACAUGGACACGUCUUGACCACCGCUCAAAACCUGACGGUGGUCUCACGUACCGUUUCUCCAAAGAACGGCUCAUCGACAACCUGAUGGUCUACUGGGUUUCGAACUCCAUAACGACCUCUAUGCGCAUGUACGCUGAGACGUUUAAUAAGAGAUUUUUGAGCCAGAAUUUGGAUGAAAUACAAACGCCAGUUCCGACCUGGAUAAUUCAAGCAAAACAAGAGGUAAUAUACGUUCCUGGCUGGAUCCUCAAAUUCAAGUACACAAACCUUUUGAACGAGACCAUACUCCAGGACGGCGGCCACUUCUUAGCGAUGGAGCUGCCUGAGAUUUUCUCUAAAGAUGUGCUGAAGGCUGUUGACGCAUUCCGGAAGUGGCAUAAACAACAACAAAGAACAGAGUUGUAAUUUUAAUGUAUGUACUAAAUUAUUGUAAAAGAACGAAUCCUCGCCUUCCGCAACUGCUGUCAAAAAUACUAUUAUGCCAGCCUUCAUUCAUUUCCAAACCCUAAAAGAUUCCGUCAUUAAUUGAAUUCUUGGGUUAAUCUUACUGGUGUUUUUGGAUUGAUCAUAAUAACCGAUUAAAUGCUUUAGCCAUUCCAUCUCUUCAUUCGAAUGGCUUUCAUGGAAAACUUCCUUACCCUAGUGAAAUGGUCAGUCAGGAAAUGGAACUGAACACCCAAUUAGACUUGCCUGUGGCUCAGCAUCUUCUUCUGCUGUAACCACUCAACAGAAUGUUAAGCACAACAUCAAAAGAUCAUCAAAAAGGUAUUCAGAAUAUGCUGCUAUAAUGCUGGACCAUGGUUAUUGCAAGAAAAGAUCUUCAAAAGUUAAUUGUAGGUAUGCUGGCUAUACGCCUUCCAGCUAGUUGUGACUUCGACUUGCGAAAGAAAGGCUGGCACACAGUCGUGCCAGUGAAGAGCUUUUUUCGCAGGCUGUAGCAACCCCCUUGUAGCUUCGGAAAGAACGGCGCUGUGCAAAUUGACAGUAAAAAGUACUUACCAAAAACAAAUUUGUAACUUGAGAAGAGAAAAAGUGGUCAUUCAUUUAAGGCGCGGCUUGCAAAAGCCGAAAAACUGGAGACCAACACUACUUUUCAAAAAGUAGUUACAGGUAUGACACCACAAGCCAAAUUGUUUACCGCCAUGCAGAUGGAAACGGCGAAAACACAAAAGGGUCGUCGUUUUUGUUUGGAAGAAAAAGUAUUGCCCUCGUCUUUGUAUAAGAGGAUUCCCAAGUUUUAUGCCUUGAUGGCAAAAUAUUUUACAUUGCCAUCAAUAAAAUGAAUUGAAAGUAAUAAUACAGGAAGUUAUCAAAAAUGUGUAAGCAACUGGCUUGACCGUUUUAUGUACUGUGUGUGACCAGAGCACAGUUGAUGUGAGUGUUAUUAAUGAGCUUGUGGCCGAUACAAGAGUAAAUUAUCUCAGAAAAGGAAAGGAGACCAAAGUUAAAUUCUUUGAAAUGAACAAAUGAAAAAUUAUUCCCAUUUAUGAUGUUCCACAUUUAUUAAAAGGGCUGAGGAAUAACCUUCUUACCAAAGAUUUGGUUUAUAUUGAACCCGAAGACCAAAAACAGAAACUCAUCAACACAUCAAUGGGAAUCAUUUUAAGGAAAUACAAAGUGUAGGUGUGACACAUUUAAAAAAAAAUGUUCCAAAGUGUGCUGUAAAAGGUACGAUAAAAAUGUACACUGACAUAUUUGUGUCAUUUCCCUUCAAAUGUGUUCAAACCACAUAAAAAACAAAACUUCAAACACAUAGAUGUUCUUCGUUCUUCAAAACACAUAAAGAGGCUAUCUAAAAAAAAAUUUGAAGAAAUGACACUGAAUGUCUUAAUAUACAGUUGGUGCAGGCAUCAUCACCUACUCUGGUGAUGAUGAAAUAAAAUCUUUCGCCCAA